UACCAUGAGAAGCAAGGCAGCUUGCCCAAGUCACCCAGUGCAGGCAUGACAGAGAGCACCAGAGCAGGAGAGGAGGGCCCAGGCCGGUCUGGAGCAUCCAUUUCUAGAGGAAAGGGUCACAGUUCUACAUUGCCUGUUGUCCAAAGUCUAUAAACAGUUGUUUCACAUACUUUGUACACUCUUCUAGCUGUUUAUAACAAGAAGAGCGCCCUCCCCAACCUCACACAGCCUGUGUGACUUCUGUCUCCAAGGAAUAGGGCACCAGGUGUCCCUAAUUCCUACUCUCACUCUCCUCCCAACCUGCGCGUUCACCCACUUGCAUUGAUCCAGAAGGUUUAUACAUGUCAGCUGAUGAACUAUAGAGUCACACAACUAUCGAGAGUGACACCAACUGCAGCCAAACAACCAAGUCACAAAACGUUGAAUCGAUGUCGGCCAAGGACCACCUCUGAUCUAAGAAGCCAGCUAAAUAAAUGAGACUCCUGUCUGAUAUGAGAGCUCAGUAACAGACUUAGGUGACGCACAAUAUCAAAUUUCUUUGCAAGUGGGCGCCUACUGGCACGUGAUUACCAUUGGUCCACUGAAGACUCCUCUGUUAUAUUUCUUUCCUGUCACCUUUAUUUCCACCCCUAUUCCUUCCAUAGGCUACCAUUCUAUUCUGUUAAAUAUACCUUAUUUGCAUAUAUUUAAAAUUACGCAAGUGGUGUUGUUAUAUAUACUAUGAUUUUAAUGUUCCCCCCCGCCAAAACUCAUGCUGAAAUUUAAUCCCCAGUGUGGCUAUAUUGAGAGGCGAGGCCUUUAAAGGGUGAUUGGAUCAUGAGGGCACUGUCCUUAUGGUGGAUUAAUCUCAUGGAUUAACAGAUUAAUGGAUUAAUUUAAUGAGUUACCAUGGGAGUGGGACUCAUGGCUUUAUAAGAAGAGGAAGAGACCUGAGCUAGCACAGUAGCACACUCAGUCCCCUCACAAUGUGAUAGCCUGCACCACCUUGAGACUCUCAGAGUCCCCACCAGCAAGAAGGCCCUCACCAGAUGCAGCCCCUCAACCUUGUACCUCACAGCCUCCAUAUCUGUAUGAAAUAAAUACCUUUCUUUUAUAAAUUA
rnacentral:lncRNA from 10 species